CGGAAGGUGACUGCCAGGAGAACUGGGCUCUCCUCGUGGGAGUCCAACCAUGCUGUGGCUCUGUGGCCCUUGCCUUGGCUGCCCCGGGGAGAGGCUACUGAAUUGGCCUGGACCUUCCAGUCAUGGUUUUUUGUUCUUGGUCUCUAUGCGGUUGAGAGAAUGUUCAAUCCACUACCGCAUCCGAAAGGCAACCUUGAGAUGGCUCUCUGCACAUUUCCUACGAGAAAGGCAAUCCUGUGACUGUCCUCAGCAGAGUGGCUUGAUCAUAACUCAUUUUCUCUUCUGAUGAGAGAAUGGACAGACAGCCCUGGGAACCUUAAUCAGCACAAUCCGGUUCCUGCCUCCAGCAUCUGAGGCACGAGCAACUCCAAGCUGGCUUCAAACUGAAGUUUCUCCUGCCUCAGCUUCCUGAGUGCUCGGUUGCAGGUGUCAUCUUUACCAUGGCCACCCCAACACUAUGAUGUGAAGUUGCUUGAGUGUGUUUUGGCUUCUGUUGCUCCAGAUAUUCC
rnacentral:lncRNA from 1 species